rnacentral:rRNA from 1 species
CGUGGGGCCUUUACGUUUUAGCUGUCGGAGGUUUUCUUGAGUUGGCGGACGGGGUGAGCUAACACGUGAGAUUCCACCUUUUAGGUGGGGAAUAACUUUUUGGAAACGAUAGCUUAAUGCCCCUAUAGACUCUCGCAAGAGAAGAAAAGAGUAACUCUUGCCUUAAAGAGAAGCCCCGCGGGCUGAAUUAGCUUAGUUGGGGGGGUAAAGGCCCUACCCAAGGCAGCACGAUCAGUAGCUUGGUUUUGAGAGAACGAUCCCCCCCCCUUGGAAUUGAGACACGGCCCAGACCUCUUACGGGAGGCAGCAGUGGGGAAUUUUCCGCAAGUGGGCGAAAGCCUUGACGGAGCAACUCCGCGUGAGGGAUGAAGGCCUUUUGGGUUAAAACCUCUUUUUUUAAGGAGGAAGUUCUUGACGUGUCUUUGAUAAAAAGCAUCGGCUAACCCCGUGCCAGCACCCGCGGAAAGACGGAGAUCAAGUGUUUUCCGGAACCACCUGGGCGUAAAGCGUCUUGUGGGUGGUUCAAAACCCUUCGGUAAAAAAUUGAACCUUACUUUCAAAGUGCCGGGAACUUUAAACUCGGGAGGGGGGGGGAGAGGAAUUUCCGGGGAGGGGGGGAAAUGCUAAAUUUUGAAAAAACCCCCCCGUGGGGGAAGGCCUUUUUGG